AUAAAAGCAAAAAAUCAUGAUUAUUAAUCCAAGGCGUAUCAAAAGAAAAAGAUUUUAAUUAAUUUUGAUAGUCAAAGCCAAGGAAUUCACAUGCACCAAUGGGCCAACUGGCCAGCAACGACUCCUCUGUUUUUAAAUGAACAGCCGAAGCUGUUGCAAAGGGACCUUGAAAUGACCAAUCCCUGACCUUCUUUCCUCCUUUGCAGCAAGGGAAUGGUUGACCAAGAAUCAAGAUGCUGUCCAUGAAUCCAAACUGCGACCAACAAGGAGUGUGAAGUUGACGCUGGAACGUAACUUAGUCCGUAGGGUCUUCUCCAAGAAAUCCUCUUUCAAGAAAUCCCCCUGAUCUGUCCUUCUAAAGAGCAGUCAAGGUGGAUUUCCUUCAGGAUCGACUGACUGACUUGAACUUGCAGUCAAGAGUCUUCUCCAACAUGAACAAUUUGAAAGCGACAAUCAAAACCUAUGUUUGUUUGUCCAACCAAACAUUUCCUCUUUGACGACUUACGAACAAUGGCUGGUUUGCCUUCCAAGAGGUGGUAUUCAGCUGGUUCAUACCGGUUCGGGCGAACCAUUAGCGGAGAUCACAGGUGGAAGGGACAUGUGUGAGCCGAGCACAUGCGCUGAAGGUGCGGGGGCGGCGAACCAACGGUAACAAAAUGUGAAACCCAUCACUGACACCAAGCCAUUGGGAGUUGUCCAGGAUCAAGAGGACGUGUAACUUCAACUGUAAACCAAUAAGAUCUAACUCUUCCCUAGAAGCUUCUCAGGCUUCAAAGUCCAGCUUCACCCACCUUUUUUUAAGAAGUUUGGAUCCUUUUUUGAACUUUUUGGUUGGCCCUGCCGGAGGAAUAAGGCGGAAUGAACUGGAAAAGAUGCGCACCAGCCAAAUUCAUUGCCCUUCAAAAACAUGUGACCGAGUCUGUUUAUUCAGAUAGACCCGUUAUUGUAGAGUUUUAGUCACGGAGGAAACUUCUAACCAUAAUUAGACACAUGAUAAAAAGAUGUUAUAUUGCGUCUUCAAAGCUCUUUCUUCAACAGAACUCUUUUGUUUGCAAGCCAGCGAGUCAACAAGCCAAGAUGAAGGUUGUACUUGUUGUCCUUCUGGUUUUUUUUAAAUUUCCAAAUAAAAAACUGCAAAGAAAAAUAGCGUAAAAUACAAAAAAAAAAAAAAAAAAAGAGCCCAAUCUUAAAUAACUCCACGGAUCAAAAUUUGAACGAAGCACAGAACAUCGGAAAAUGUUAAAGGAGUGCAUCCUUUAAGGGUUUGCGGAGAAUGACCUGCUCCAGAUGGAAGUGAACGUGGAGCAAGAAGUGGGGAAAUAAAAGGUUUUUUGGGGUAAAAUUUGGAAAGGUCUGCUUUCGGGUGCCAAUGGGACCCCUCCCCCCCAAGAGAAUCACACGCUGGUGUCAGGGUUCCAAGUAACAGACCCAACGAAAUCAAAACUCCAAGGCCUGGCAUUUCCUCAAAGUAAGAAUUUAUUAGGGAUGCCAUAUUGGCACAGCUGGUGAAAAAACCCACUUUGAAGGGCCCAAGAUUUUCACCACCUGAAUCCAAAUCCAAAGUUCUUGUCCCUAGGUCACUUGUCCAUCACAUGGUCCAAUCUGGAAAAGUGGAAGAAUCAGCUAGGAAGAAUAACAACAAUUAAAAUGAACAUAUUGCCAAGAUUGUUGUAUUUAUUCCGCACAAUCCCGAUAAAACUGGGGAAAAAAAUAUAUUUUGAGGAACUUAAUCAAAUAGUACACACGGUAAGUAUAUCUGGCAAGGGGAAAAAAAAGCAAGAGUUGGCUUUAAAAAGUUGCAGGAUACCGUGUUUUUCAGAGUAUAAGUGUUGUGACCCUGGCCCAAGUAGGUGGUAGGAAACUCAGUCUGUGAAAAAACAAACUUUAUUCGAACAGCUGAGAAUUACUUCAUUCCCAGCGUCGUUCAACUCAGAUUAAAACAAAUGCCUCCCAACACAAAUUCCUCAGUCCUAUCGCAAACCUUGGUCCAAUUAGGCAAACUGUCAAAGGCCUUUCGUGGCAAACAUGCAGAAGUCACAAAAAUAAAUGCAAGACGUAGAAGAAGCAGAAGACGAAGCUACCAACGUUGUUUUCUGGCAAAGCCCAAAUGCCGCUGCUGGUCGGUUUUAAGCCUUAUGGGAGGGGCCAAUCAUCUCUUAGCCUUACUCCCGAGUCGUCCUCUUUGCUUGAGCUGCUCUUGCCUUCUGGCAGCUCUUCUCAUGCGUGCAUUAGGAACAGGCUCCUCCUGUUCAUCUGCCUCUCUAUUAUCAAUCUCUGGAGGCUCUGGAGUCCGCACCUCACUCCCCGAUCGCCCUGGCCUCACCUCAGCCUCAUCGCUGUCUGACUUCAUUGCCAGCUCUGCAGGCUGCUGGCGGACCACAACAAUAAGACACACCUUUUUCCCCCAAAAAAGAAGGUGAAAAUCUAGGUGCGUCUUAUACUCUGAAUAGAGCCCCGCCCAGCUUCUCAAAUGGAGGGUUCAGAGGCUGAAAAAAGCAUCAGAAAUGAAACUUCAGGAAAAAAAGCCCCCAAAAAGAGCUUCAGAAAAAAGCCCCCCAAAAGAGCUUCAGAAAAAAAGCCUCCAAACAGAGCUUCAGAAAAAAAAGCCUCAGGCUUUUUUUCUGAAGCUCUGUUUCGGAGGCUUUCAGAGGCAGGUGAAAAAAGUUUUUUCUGAAACGGAGUUUCAGAAAUUUCAGAGGCAGAAAAAAAAGCAAAAAAAAAAAAAAAAAGCAAGGCACAGAGCUCACAACCAAGGAACCUGUUGCUAAAAUUCACCUCUGGGAACAGCUGAUUGGGGGUAUUCCGGGAGGCCGAUCCACCCACCAAUCAGCUUUUUUCUUAUUUUCCUUCCCAAAAACCAAGGUGCGUCUUAUAUUCCGGUGCAUCUUAAACUCCGAAAAAUACGGUGUAUGAAGUAGGGGAGGCUUUGGACUACUGUAUUGGGAACUGUAUUAUCUGGCUGAUGUUUUGACAUGGAUGAAAGAGUGGAUCGUAUUGAGGAAUACAAGGUUUUAGACUUUGGAAGGACAUGGUUUACAAUUGGGGUGCCAUGCUUUCCUGUGGUGUGGGAAGAACAAGAUACAUGGAUAUUUUCAGAGACAUUAU